rnacentral:rRNA from 1 species
CCCGGGUCUUGUACACACCGCCCGUCACACCACGAGAGUUUACAACACCCGAAGUCGGUGGGGUAACCGCAAGGAGCCAGCCGCCGAAGGUGGGAUAGAUGAUUGGGGUG